rnacentral:rRNA from 1 species
AGAUUGAACGCUGGCGGCAUGCCUUACACAUGCAAGUCGAACGGCAGCACGGGAGCAAUCCUGGUGGCGAGUGGCGAACGGGUGAGUAAUACAUCGGAACGUGCCCAAUCGUGGGGGAUAACGCAGCGAAAGCUGUGCUAAUACCGCAUAAGAUCUACGGAUGAAAGCAGGGGAUCGCAAGACCUUGCGCGAAUGGAGCGGCCGAUGGCAGAUUAGGUAGUGGUGAGGUAAGGCUCACCAAGCCUUCGAUCUGUAGCUGGUCUGAGAGGACGACCAGCCACACUGGGACUGAGACACGGCCCAGACUCCUACGGGAGGCAGCAGGUGGGGAAUUUGGACAAGUGGGCGAAAGCCUGAUCCGAGCCAUGCCGCGUGCAGGAUGAAGGCCGUUGGUUGUAAACGUUGUCGUUUUUAGUAACGGUAAC